rnacentral:rRNA from 1 species
AGAACGAACGCUGGCGGCAUGCCUAAUACAUGCAAGUCGAACGAACUCUUCGGAGUUAGUGGCGCACGGGUGCGUAACGCGUGGGAAUCUGCCCCUUGGUUCGGAAUAACAGUUGGAAACGACUGCUAAUACCGGAUGAUGACGAAAGUCCAAAGAUUUAUCGCCAAGGGAUGAGCCCGCGUAGGAUUAGCUAGUUGGUGAGGUAAAGGCUCACCAAGGCAACGAUCCUUAGCUGGUCUGAGAGGAUGAUCAGCCACACUGGGACUGAGACACGGCCCAGACCUCCGUACGGGAGCAGCAGUAGGGAAUAUUGGACAAGUGGGACGAAAGCCUGAUCCAGCAAUGGCCGCGUGAGUGAGUGAAGGUCCGUUAGGGUUAGUAAGUCUUCCGUUUUAACCGAGUA